rnacentral:misc_RNA from 1 species
AAGUCGUAACAAGGUUUCCGUAGGUGAACCUGCGGAGGGAUCAUUACCGAGUGAAGGGUCUCCGGGCCCGACCUCCAACCCCAUGUUAUCCGACCCAGUUGCCUCGGGGGCGACCCGGCCUCACGGCGGGGGCCCCCGGUGGACCGUCAACUCUGCAUUACUGUGUCCGAGUCAAUAUUGAAUAAAUCAAAACUUUUAACAACGGAUCUCUUGGUUCUG